GACGAACGCUGGCGGCGUGCUUAACACAUGCCAGUCGAACGGCAAGGCCCUGCUUUUGUGGGGUGCUCGAGUGGCGAACGGGUGCGUAACACGUGAGUAACCUGCCCUUGACUUUGGGAUAACUUCAGGAAACUGGGGCUAAUACCGGCUAGCAGCUCCUGCUGCAUGGUGGGGGUUGGAAAGUUUCGGCGGUUGGGGAUGGACUCGCGGCUUAUAAGCUUGUUGGUGGGGUAGUGGCUUACCAAGGCUUUGACGGUUAGCCGGCCUGAGAGGGUGACCGGCCACAUUGGGACUGAGAUACGGCCCAGACUCCUACGGGAGGCAGCAGUGGGGAAUAUGGCAAAAUGGGUGGAAGCCUGGUGCAGAAACGCCGCGUGCGUGAUAACGGCCUUCGGGUUGUAAACCGCUUUCGCCUGUGACGAAGCGUGAGUGGCGGUAAUGGGUAAAGAAGCACCGGCUAACUACGUG
rnacentral:rRNA from 1 species